rnacentral:rRNA from 1 species
UUGGAGGGCAAGUCUGGUGCCAGCAGCCGCGGUAAUUCCAGCUCCAAUAGCGUAUAUUAAAGUUGUUGCAGUUAAAAAGCUCGUAGUUGAACCUUGGGUCUGGCUGACCGGUCCGCCUCACCGCGUGCACUGGCUCGGCCGGACCUUUCCUUCUGGGGAGCCCCAUGGCCUUCACUGGCCGUGGGGGGAACCAGGACUUUUACUGUGAAAAAAUUAGAGUGUUCAAAGCAGGCCUUCGCUCGGAUACAUUAGCAUGGAAUAAUAGAAUAGGACGUGCGGUUUUAUUUUGUUGGUUUCUA